GACGAACGCUGGCGGCGUGCUUAACACAUGCAAGUCGAACGGAAAGGCCCUGCUUUUGUGGGGUGCUCGAGUGGCGAACGGGUGAGUAACACGUGAGUAACCUGCCCUUGACUUUGGGAUAACUUCAGGAAACUGGGGCUAAUACCGGAUAGGAGCUCCUGCUGCAUGGUGGGGGUUGGAAAGUUUCGGCGGUUGGGGAUGGACUCGCGGCUUAUCAGCUUGUUGGUGGGGUAGUGGCUUACCAAGGCUUUGACGGGUAGCCGGCCUGGGAGGGUGACCGGGCACAAUGGGACUGCGAGACGGAGCAGACUCCUACGGGAGGCAGCAGUGGGGAGUAUUGCACAGUGAGCGGAAGCCUGAUACAGCAGCGCCGCGUGCGGGAUGACGGCCUUCGGGUUAUAAACCGCUUUCGCCUGUGACGAAGCGUGAGUGACGGUAAUGGGUAAAGAAGCACCGGCUAACUACGUG
rnacentral:rRNA from 1 species